rnacentral:rRNA from 1 species
UACGUAGGUGGCAAGCGUUGUCCGGAAUUACUGGGUGUAAAGCGCGUGUAGGCGGCAGGCCAAGUCUGCGGUGAAAGCGCCCGGCUCAACUGGGCGAGGUCCGUGGAAACUGGUCAGCUGGAGGACGGUAGAGGCGAGUGGAAUUCCCGGUGUAGCGGUGGAAUGCGUAGAGAUCGGGAAGAACAUCAGUGGCGAAGGCGGCCUGCUGGGCUGUUGCUGACGCUGAGGCGCGACAGCGUGGGGAGCAAACAGG